rnacentral:rRNA from 1 species
UACGGAGGGGGCUAGCGUUGUUCGGAAUUACUGGGCGUAAAGCGUACGUAGGCGGCUUUGUAAGUUAGAGGUGAAAGCCCGGGGCUCAACCCCGGAAUUGCCUUUAAGACUGCAUCGCUUGAAUCGCGGAGAGGUGAGUGGAAUUCCGAGUGUAGAGGUGAAAUUCGUAGAUAUUCGGAAGAACACCAGUGGCGAAGGCGGCUCACUGGACGCGUAUUGACGCUGAGGUACGCAAGCGUGGGGAGCAAACAGG